CAAAACAGUGGUUAUCGCUCAGAGGUGCAAGAUCACGAUUUAGCUUAUUCAGGACGACGAUUCAUACUCUCAGAGAUGCAGGGGGGUUUUUUAUAUGUGGUCCUAUCCGUCUUCUCAUACGAUUCAUCUCACUCCUCUCCACGAUUGAAAACCAAGACACAAAUCAAAAUCACAGUUUCGAUAAUGUGACUGUACGGCCAUUCUCGAAUAAUACAUUUAGAAGAGUGAACAUAAGCUGUUGUGGCUGGAACUUGUGUGGAUAUGGGAGUCCUCUACAUAGAUAUGGCCUAUAAUUAUAUGCUUUUCAAUGGAUUGUUGAAGUCAAUGGGAAACCAACUCCUUGUUUAUAUGCCUUUGUUGAUGUAACAAAGGAAAUAGAAUACGAAGAACUUGUUCAUGUGAAGACAGUACACAGCAACGCGAAGCCACAAGUGCUGACACUGAAACAGGACUUGCUCUACUCACGUACUUGGGAAAUGAGGUUUGAUCCCGAAACUGCAAUGUCACAGCGCAAGAUGACGAAUAAAGCAUUAUGAGGUGUAUAUAUACACACAGAGAAAGGAUCACAAUGAUAUAUUUAGGUCAUCAGUGUUGUAUUAGAUUAAGAGCUGAUGACACGAAUGAUUCAAGAACCAGUAUCUCUGUUCCUGAAGUUUCAUG